GAUGAAGAACGUAGCGAAAUGCGAUAAGUAAUGUGAAUUGCAGAAUUCAGUGUAUCAUCGAAUCUUUGAACGCACAUUGCGUCCAUUAGUAUUCUAGUGGGCAUGCCUGUUCGAGCGUCAUUAAUUCCACUUAAGCCCUGCUUAGUGUUGGGAAUCUACUCUAGUGGUGCUACCCUGGAGCUACCCCUGAAAGGGGGCUGGCCCGGUAGCUACCCUGUAGUUCCUCAAAGAUAGUGCGCGGAGUUGCGUGGUCCUCUGAGCUUAGUAACUAUACACCUAGCUUUUGAGUGUCCCGCGGCGCCUGCCGUUUAAACCCCAUCUUUUAAUGGUUGACCUCGGAUCAGGUAGGAAUACCCGCUGAACUUAAGCAUAUCAAUAAGCGGAGGA
rnacentral:misc_RNA from 1 species